GAGUUUGAUCGUGGCUCAGAUUGAACGCUGGCGGCAUGCCUAACACAUGCAAGUCGAACGGUAACGCGGGGGCAACCCUGGCGACGAGUGGCGGACGGGUGAGUAAUACGUAGGAAUCUGCCCAUUUGUGGGGGAUAACCCGGCGAAAGCCGGGCUAAUACCGCAUACGCUCUACGGAGGAAAGCGGGGGAUCGUAAGACCUCGCGCUAAUGGAUGAGCCUACGUCGGAUUAGCUAGUUGGUAGGGUAACGGCCUACCAAGGCGACGAUCCGUAGCUGGUCUGAGAGGACGAUCAGCCACACUGGGACUGAGACACGGCCCAGACUCCUACGGGAGGCAGCAGUGGGGAAUAUUGGACAAUGGGGGCAACCCUGAUCCAGCAAUGCCGCGUGUGUGAAGAAGGCCUGCGGGUUGUAAAGCACUUUCAGAGGGGAAGAAAAAUCGGAGCUAACACCUCCGAGCUUGACGUUACCCUUAGAAGAAGCACCGGCUAACUCCGUGCCAGCCGCCGCCGUAAU
rnacentral:rRNA from 1 species